UAAUCCUUAACAUUCUUUGAUUAAAACGUUAAUAGUAUUCAAAGUUUGAUCAAAGUCCCUUGACUUUGUACACCUCAUUAUAUUACUAUUACUAUUUAUAUUUUUAUAGUUUUGACAUUAAUUGUUUUAUAUUUUAUGAGAUUUAUAAUCCUAUAAAUUUAAAAUCCCUCAUUAUAAUACUAUUAGAAACGGUUACAAUAAAAAAAAUUCAAACAUUUUGAUCUAAUAAAUGGAUAAAAACUAUGUAAAAAUAAGAAAUAAUAAAUGUCAAAAGAAUGUAUCCAUAGUGUUAAAAAAAUUGGUACAUUUUACAAAAAAAAAAAAAUAGGUACAUUUCACAUAUAACAAAGUGGUACAUUAAUAAAGAAGAAUGGG
rnacentral:lncRNA from 1 species